CCUACGGGAGGCAGCAGUGAGGAAUAUUGGUCAAUGGACGAGAGUCUGAACCAGCCAAGUAGCGUGAAGGAUGACUGCCCUAUGGGUUGUAAACUUCUUUUAUAUGGGAAUAAAAUGUUCCACGUGUGGGAUUUUGUAUGUACCAUAUGAAUAAGGAUCGGCUAACUCCGUGCCAGCAGCCGCGGUAAUACGGAGGAUCCGAGCAUUAUCCGGAUUUAUUGGGUUUAAAGGGAGCGUAGGUGGAUUGUUAAGUCAGUUGUGAAAGUUUGCGGCUCAACCGUAAAAUUGCAGUUGAAACUGGCAGUCUUGAGUACAGUAGAGGAGGGCGGAAUUCGUGGUGUAGCGGUGAAAUGCUUAGAUAUCACGAAGAACUCCGAUUGCGAAGGCAGUUCACUGGACUGCAACUGACACUGAGGCUCGAAAGUGUGGGUAUCAAACAGGAUUAGAUACCCUAGUAGUC
rnacentral:rRNA from 1 species